CCGAAAUUGCAACAUGUGUGAUUUAAAAGUCUCCGAAGAAAAUGUUGUUGUCUUCUGUGAAAAAAAAACACCAGCUUGGAAAUUGCCUCAAAAUUCCAAAGACUGUUGGUUAAAGACUGUAGGUUACCUCUCGACUGUAUAAGGAACGAAUUCGCUUGCCAAAAAUUCAGGAUAUAAACCAUUUGACCGUGAACGAGCUGUUAUUCAACAAGCGAUGUAGAAAGCCUUCGAAAUUACUUGUUUG
rnacentral:lncRNA from 1 species